CAAAUUCCCAGUUUAUUCCCAUUUAUUCCUGUUCAUUUUCGUAUAUAUUCCCGUUAAUUCCCAUGGAAAGUUUCCAACUUUGAAAAUUCCCGGAAUUUUGCAACCCUAGUUACCAUGCAGGCUAACAUUACAGACACAUAUGACGUGUUAACGUUAAUUAGCUCUAGCAGUAAUAACAGUUACCUUGUGAACUUCCAUGGGACAUAGGUAGGUAACAUUAUUUUUACAUUAUUACAUUAUUAUACAUACAUAAUAUACAUGUAGUGUUGCUAUAACGUGUUAACUGGAAAGAUGACCUGUAAAACAAAUGAAUAAAGUCAUAUAUAAGUUAUAUCUAUACCCACUGAUUUAAGGAACUAAGGAACUGCAGUUUAGUAUAGCCAUGGUCAUUAACAGACCUGUCAUAUAAUGGAUGUGAAUGGGGGCAAGUAUGAUGGGUGAGUAUGCCGACAAGUAAAGGGAUCUUUAGUUUGUUAAGGGUAGUGUUAGGCUACAUGUUUUUAAUUUAUUAGCCCUUAUUUGAUGUACCUGACUUGCACUGAGGCAUGUGUUUAUUUAAGAUGCAUGUGAGUGAAGUAGUGCUUCAGUGAUGGUCUUUUCAUGUUCUGUGUGUUUUGGAACUUAUUAAUCUUAGUCUCUAUAUGUGUUCCCUCUGUUUGCUGUCGGUGUGUUGUGAGGACUGCUGCCCUGAGAACGCUGAGUGCAUUCUGGAAUAUUCCAAAUGUGUGCCACUUCAAUACUGAAGAAGUUCCAAGCCUGCAAGAGAUUUCACUCACCAGUGGGCUCCAUCAACUAUCCAGGGCAAAGUCAAUCCGUCUGGAUGGCACUACCUGCUACCUGAUAAUGUCUGAUAGCCAUGGCUGCUGCCUUCAACGUGGUAGCCCUCACAAGUAAACUGAUAUCAAGACUUAACAUAGAUGGUGAUGGUGGCAAGGGUGCCUUCAGAAGGUGCUAUCCAGCAGUCCCAGCCUGGAGCCAGAAGCUGCUAUUGCAAGUCAGAUGGGGGAGGAAAGGUGGUGUAGGCAAGAAGGCAAGAGCUGCUGCAGGCAAUGUUGCAAUUAGAUGCUGUCUUCAGCGAACACAAAACCACCCUGACCCGAAUAAUGGACACCAUGGGAAGAUAUUUGAAGUAUGCACCGGAGAGGGUGGGUGGUGGUGGCCGUCGGAAGACACUCCCUGCUGUUGCUGAAUGAUGCCAUCGGUAUACAUGCACAGCCUCUCGCAGAGGAGGUAUCAAGCUUUUUAAAAGUGUGGGGGUUUUGAGAUAGGGAAGUGAAACAAUCUGGCCAAAUUAUAAAUAACUCCCUGCAGAGAUGUUGUAAGUAUUUUCUGAGAGGGGUGCGGACUAUAUUGGAGGUUAUUGGAAUGUUUUGAAAUUCUGAUUGCUAAAUAGCCUACACCAUUUUAAUGUAGUGUGAGAGGGACAGAACAAGCAGCGCCCGUAGCACACGUAGCCUAGGCCGACAUUAUCUACUUGCUAUCACUGCACUAUUUGCCUAGGCCUACAUUAUCUACCUGCUAUCACUGCACUAUUUGCCUAGGCCUACAUUAUCUACCUGCUAUCACUGCACUAUUUGACACUACCCUGGAGACACAUUUCAUGUUAUAAAUGAAGAAAUCAAUUCAGAAAUCAUGUUUUGUGCAUAUGGGUUAGCAGGCUACAAUAAAUUGCCUAACAGAGGUAUCACUGGACUAUUAAUAUGCCUAACUAUAAUACCUAUUAAAUAAAUGUAAAGGACACAGAAUAAUGACAGAACUGUAAGCUCAAAUUCAAAAAUGUUUGAAGUCUACCCAAACAUAAGGGAAUAUAAAUAAAUUGUGUUGCAUAUAGCCAGCUUAAUUAAUGUCAAUUUAAAGAUUAUGAUUAGCAGUUUCUAUGCUGUUUCCAAUGAUAAUUACAGGAAGCCACGUUAUUGUUUAAACUAUUGUUGCUUCUAGCCCACGUUACCUUUCACUUGCUGCAGGGACGCACACAUUGCAUGAGCGCUCAUAAGCGUUCUAUUUGAGUUUUACAUAGCCUACUGGAAAUCUUAGUUCUCAGAUGUAGAACUCAAACGCCGCCGUUUGUAAGAUCAAAUAAGACGUUCUAAAUGGAACGUGAUGUAAUGAAGCUGUUUUUUCCAAGCGUCUUGGAGACGUAUGUGUGCUGACUGGGCUAUGUCUAUAUAGUUGAUGACACCAAAUUAAUAAGUAGGCUAUUUCUGAUUGGGGAAACGUUUAGCCUAGUUUAUUUUUCUUUCAGUUUCUUUCAGUCCGGUUCUGCAAAUGAUCAGAUGUGUGAAGCACCGGGCAUAACUUAAUUUCGCGGCUACGCGCAGUAGGCUAAUUGUUGAGGAGGCCCAUAGUUUGAGAAAGGCUGCAGAUCAUAGACAGAGAAAGCAUAAUGCUCUGAGAACAGUAGCCAAGGGCCUUUCUGCAGAAACAACAAGUGCCUUGGUGCGCACACCCCUGCUUUCACUUUGACUCCCUGCAUUUCUACAUUGUGACAAAAACUGUAAGUCAGUGAAUUUUCGUUUAGCAUAAUGCGGUAACAAUUAUCAUUUCAAUUCUACCUCAAAUCUGAUCACUGCAGACGUUAUAAUACAGACCCAAGCAGCAACACAGCCUUGAAAGACGCACACUUAGAAUUUGAUCAGAGCGGAAUUAGAUCUUCACUGACGCUAACUUGAUGUGAUUGGCUGGAUGACCGUUCAAUCAAAUCAACAGACCUAUUUGUGUCUCUCUGUGUGUGUGCGUCAUCAGAGCCCGCCCUCAUUAGACAUACGGUUCCAACUCUUUACGGGAGCGUUUAUUUCCAUAUUUUACUUUCGUUUUAAUCUGACAAAAAAGUGUGGGGGAUAGAAUUGUGUUCCAGCAAAAAUGUGUACGUUACCCACAAUCCCCCAAUGGAUAGAUCAUUUAUGUUGUAAACAUAAAACAAAAUAAAAUAAUGUAAAUAAAUAUAUAAGUUGACUGGUU